rnacentral:rRNA from 1 species
GUAGGGCCCAAGCGUUUGUCCGGAUUUAUUGGGCGUAAAGAGCUCGUAGGCGGUUCGGUAAGUCGGGUGUGAAAACUCAGGGCUCAACCCUGAGACGCCACUCGAUACUGCCAUGACUAGAGUCCGGUAGGGGAGCGUGGAAUUCCUGGUGUAGCGGUGAAAUGCGCAGAUAUCAGGAGGAACACCGAUAGCGAAGGCAGCGCUCUGGGCCGGUACUGACGCUGAGGAGCGAAAGCGUGGGGAGCAAACAGGGAUUAGAUACCCUGGUAGUCCACGCCGUAAACGUUGGGCACUAGGUGUGGGUUCCCAUCCAACGGAAUCCGUGCCGUAGCUAACGCAUUAAGUGCCCCCGCCUGGGGAGUACGGCCGCAAGGCUA